rnacentral:rRNA from 1 species
GACGAACGCUGGCGGCGUGCCUAAUACAUGCAAGUCGAACGCAGUGGGGACGGGUGAGUAACACGUGGGUAACCUGCCCAUCAGAGGGGAUAACACUUGGAAACAGGUGCUAAACCGAUACUGAUGGAUGGACCCGCGGUGCAUUAGCUAGUUGGUGAGGUAACGGCUCACCAAGGCCACGAUGCAUAGCCGACCUGUGAGGGUGUUCGGCCACACUGGGCAUGAGACACGGCCCAUACUCCUAAGGGAGGCAGCAGUAGGGAAUCUUCGGCAAUGGACGAAAGUCUGACCGAGCAACGCCGCGGGAGUGAAGAAGGUUUUCGGAUCGUAAAACUCUGUUGUUAGAGAAGCGGUAUCUAACCAGAAAGCCACGGCUAACUACGUGCCAGCAGCCGCGGUAAUAC